ACUCACAAAUAAAAAUUAAUCGCAUAAGUAGGAGUCGAAGACACCCCGUACCUCAGAUAUCCACAGAUAUUCGUGUGGCAAGGACGCGUUUGGAUCGUGUGUGUAAUUUUCUACGUGGCGAAAUUUACAAACACGUCAAAGUUUUAAAGCAGAACUAUGCCACGAAAAUAUAAAAGAAAGGAAGAAAUGCGAGCUCGAGUAUGUUCUUGGACUAUAGAAAACCUACAGUCAGCUUUCGAUGA
rnacentral:misc_RNA from 1 species